AUCUCUGACUGUGACAACACAUGGAUUUGGAAUGCAAAACCAUCUUUGAAAAUCCAAAUCUUUUUGUGGCAACUGUUCCAAGAUGCUAUCCUUCCUAGGGACGUAAUGAAACGUUGGAACUGGAAAGGUAACCCUAAGUGUUCGUUUUGCGGAGAGCGUGAAACUUCACAACACCUCUUCUUCAUGUGCCCAGUUGCCAAGAUAAUAUAGAGAACUGUGGCUGAUAUGUUUGGCACCGAUCUGUGCCUAGAUAAUGUUUGGCAAGCCAAUGCCUGGUGCUUUACUUUUUUUUUCUUGAUGGUGAAGUUUUCUACACUAUUGGCUUAG
rnacentral:rRNA from 1 species